AGCGCAGGUGGUUUCUUAAGUCUGAUGUAAAAGGCAGUGGCUCAACCAUUGUGUGCAUUGGAAACUGGGAGACUUGAGUGCAGGAGAGGAGAGUGGAAUUCCAUGUGUAGCGGUGAAAUGCGUAGAUAUAUGGAGGAACACCGGAGGCGAAAGCGGCUCUCUGGCCUGUAACUGACACUGAGGCUCGAAAGCUGGGAGCAAACA
rnacentral:rRNA from 1 species